UACGAAGGGUGCAAGCGUUGUCCGGAAUUAUUGGGCGUAAAGAGCUCGUAGGCGGUUUGUCGCGUCUGCUGUGAAAACGCGAGGCUCAACCUCGCGCCUGCAGUGGGUACGGGCAGACUAGAGUGCGGUAGGGGAGAUUGGAAUUCCUGGUGUAGCGGUGGAAUGCGCAGAUAUCAGGAGGAACACCGAUGGCGAAGGCAGAUCUCUGGGCCGUUACUGACGCUGAGGAGCGAAAGCGUGGGGGAGCGAACAGG
rnacentral:rRNA from 1 species